rnacentral:lncRNA from 1 species
AAAUUUUAAACUAAAUCUCUUCUUAACAGAAAUUAAAAUUUUGUAUUUAAUUUAAUGUUUAAUUUUUUUAAAAAAAUAAAAUUUAAAUUUAAAAUUAAAAUAUAAAUCUAUAUCUAUAUAUCCUUUGAAUCGGGGAUCCUAAGCGGGUACGGUCGGGCUCUCCGCGUUUCGAAUUUUAAACAACUCAGGUAAAGAAGACAACUCAAAAGAAUUAUCAUUUGAUUCUAUUAAUGUGAUAUAUAAUAAUUUACUGUUGUAUUGUCUUCCCACCGCAUCGCACGGGUCCGUACCUAGUUUUAUCAUUAAACGUAGAAAGUUACUGUUUACAUUGAAACUCUAUUUUUUUUUUUUUUUUUUUUAUAUACCAAUCAACACAUGUCCUAUAUAAGGGGCUGUUUGGCUGCAUGCAAUUGCAACUAUAUUGUAGUUUUAACUAUAUAUAGAUUCAAAUAUAGUGUUUAGUUGAAUGUGCUUGAAUCUAACUGUAAUAAUUGG